UACGUAGGGUGCGAGCGUUAAUCGGAAUUACGUGGGCGUAAAGGGCUCGUAGGCGGCCAACUAAGUCAUACGUGAAAUCCCUCAGCUUAACUGGGGAACUGCGUGUGAUACUGGAUGGGCUUGGAUUUGGGAGGAGGGAUGCGGAAUUCCAGGUGUAGCGGUGAAAUGCGUAGAUAUCUGGAGGAACACCGGUGGCGAAGGCGGCAUCCUGGACCAAUAUUGACGCUGAGGAGCGAAAGCCAGGGGAGCAAACGGG
rnacentral:rRNA from 1 species